rnacentral:rRNA from 1 species
UACGUAGGGUGCGAGCGUUGUCCGGAAUUAUUGGGCGUAAAGAGCUUGUAGGCGGCCUGUCGCGUCUGCUGUGAAAAUCCGGGGCUCAACCCCGGACUUGCAGUGGGUACGGGCAGACUAGAGUGUGGUAGGGGAGACUGGAAUUCCUGGUGUAGCGGUGAAAUGCGUAGAGAUCGGCAGGAACACCCAGGGGGAAACCAGUCGACUGGGCAUCUACUGACGCUGAGGUGCGAGAGCGUGGGAGCGAACCGG